AUGCUUUUUGCUGCUGGUGUGGUAUAUAACUGUGCUGGUGUAUAUCUUACAAAGUGUUUCUGCCUCGUUCUUCUCAGACAUAGUUUUUGUUUAUUUAUUUCCUGGAGGCGACGGCGUCGCCGCCCGUGGACGUCACUGGAGGAGGCGCGGAAGACGGGCUCUGACUCCUCGGAUUCAGACGAGGAAGGGGACACCGGCGACGAGCUCCGCAUCCAGGCCCUGGAGCGCACCAUGUUUCCCAUAAUUAGCACCAUGGAGUGGAGCUUCCUCUGGCCGGGACGCCGGUCAUGUGCUCAUCAAGGUCCGCUGAUCCUUUCGCCUCCAGUCCCAUUCCCAGUCCCAGCAUAA
rnacentral:rRNA from 1 species